rnacentral:lncRNA from 1 species
ACUCUGGGUGCAGAGGUGCAUCUGUGAACAAAGGCUUCCUUUGUGCUGACUGGAGUUUCUGGAAAAAGUUAGCUCCUCAGCAGUCUUGGAGAGGUGCUCAGUGAUUACACAGACGCAGAGUGGAUUAGAAAGGCUGAGAUCAGUGUUUGUUUAUCUUGGCCUCAUUCCAGUUUCUGUCCUUACCUUUGGGUAAAACCAUUGGUAGGCUAAUGGAUUCUUCUGAGAAAUACCCAGUGCCUUUGCUAGGCUGGUCACCAUGCUGGGUGUUGUAUACACAGCCACGAACCAGACACCGUUCCUGAUCUCAGAGAGCUCACAGAUGGUGGCGGAGACAAUGCAAGAACAGAUGAGUGACUUCACUGCUGAGAAUCCACAGCAUGGGAACUGAGUUGACAUGGAGCACAUAGAUUGUUCUAGAAUGGUUCAUGGAAAAAGAUGCCCAAAAGGCACCUUACCCUCAGAAAGAUGAUCUUGAUAAUGAGGUUUCAAGAAAGAAAUUACUUUGGGAAAAAAAGCCCAUGACAAUUAAUAUGUGCUCCAUGUGUAGCUAAACAAAAAUGUAUCGAUACAAGGU